GCCUUCGUGGAUCAUGGUGAUCACCUCAUUCGAGUAAGGACCGAUCCGCAACAUGCAACGAGGAUACGGAGGUUCGAUUCCUCCCGGAGGCG